rnacentral:rRNA from 1 species
GACGAACGCUGGCGGCGUGCCUAAUACAUGCAAGUAGAACGCUGAAGAGAGGAGCUUGCUCUUCUUGGAUGAGUUGCGAACGGGUGAGUAACGCGUAGGUAACCUGCCUGGUAGCGGGGGAUAACUAUUGGAAACGAUAGCUAAUACCGCAUAACAACAGUUGUUGCAUGACAGCUGUUUAAAAGAUGCAAUUGCAUCACUACCAGAUGGACCUGCGUUGUAUUAGCUAGUUGGUGAGGUAACGGCUCACCAAGGCGACGAUACAUAGCCGACCUGAGAGGGUGAUCGGCCACACUGGGACUGAGACACGGCCCAGACUCCUACGGGAGGCAGCAGUAGGGAAUCUUCGGCAAUGGGGGGAACCUUGACCGAGCAACGCCGCGUGAGUGAAGAAGGUUUUCGGAUCGUAAAGCUCUGUUGUAAGAGAAGAACGGGUGUGAGAGUGGAAAGUUCACACUGUGACGGUAUCUUACCAGAAAGGGACGGCUAACUACGUGCCAGCAGCCGCGGUAAUACGUAGGUCCCGAGCGUUGUCCGGAUUUAUUGGGCGUAAAGCGAGCGCAGGCGGUUAGAUAAGUCUGAAGUUAAAGGCUGUGGCUUAACCAUAGUAUGCUUUGAAAACUGUUUAACUUGAGUGCAGAAGGGGAGAGUGGAAUUCCAUGUGUAGCGGUGAAAUGCGUAGAUAUAUGGAGGAACACCGGUGGCGAAAGCGGCUCUCUGGUCUGUAACUGACGCUGAGGCUCGAAAGCGUGGGGAGCAAACAGG